rnacentral:rRNA from 1 species
AGUUUGAUCUGGUCAGAUUGAACGCUGGCGGCAUGCCUUACACAUGCAAGUCGGACGGCGCGCGGGAGCAAUCCUGGCGGCGAGUGGCGAACGGGUGAGUAAUACAUCGGAACAUGUCCAGUAGUGGGGGAUAGCCCGGCGAAAGCCGGAUUAAUACCGCAACAUCUAGGAUGAAAGCGGGGGAUCGCAAGACCUCCGCUUUGGGGUGGCCGAUGGCGGAUUACUAGUUGGGGGGUAAAGGCCUACCAAGGCGACGAUCCGUAGCUGGUCGAGAGGACACCAGCCACCUGGGACUGAGACACGGCCCAACUCCUACGGAGGCGCAUGGGGAAUUUUGGACAGGGGGCAACCCUGAUCCAGCAAUGCCCGUGUGUGAAGAAGGCCUUCGGUUGUAAAGCACUUUUGUCCGGGAAGAAAUCCCCUGCCCUAAUACGGCGGGGGGAUGACGGUACCGGAAGAAUAAGCACCGGCUAACUACGUGCCAGCAGCCGCGGUAAA